AGAGUUUGAUCAUGGCUCAGGACGAACGCUGGCGGCGUGCUUAACACAUGCAAGUGGUGCGACGAACCAGGGCUUGCCCUGGGGCAAAGCCGCGAACGGGUGAGUAACACGUGAGUAACCUGCCCCGAUGACCGGGACAACCCGAGGAAACUCGGGCUAAUACCGGAUGUGGCGCACAGGUGUAAGCCUGUUCGCUAAAGGAAGCUUCGGCCUCCGCAUUGGGAGGGGCUCGCGGCCCAUUAGCUUGUUGGUGGGGUAACGGCCUACCAAGGCAACGAUGGGUAGCUGGUCUGAGAGGACGAUCAGCCACACUGGGACUGAGACACGGCCCAGACUCCUACGGGAGGCAGCAGUGGGGAAUCUUGCGCAAUGCGCGAAAGCGUGACGCAGCAACGCCGCGUGGGGGAAGACGGCCUUCGGGUUGUAAACCCCUUUCAGGAGGGACGAAGGUUCGCCGGUGAAUAGCCGUGCGGACUGACGGUACCUCCACAAGAAGCUCCGGCUAACUACGUGCCAGCAGCCGCGGUAAUACGUAGGGAGCAAGCGUUGUCCGGAAUCAUUGGGCGUAAAGCGCGCGUAGGUGGCCUCAUAAGUCCGCUGUGAAAGUCAAAGGCUCAACCUUUGAAAGCCGGUGGAUACUGUGAGGCUAGAGUACGGAAGAGGCGAGUGGAAUUCCUGGUGUAGCGGUGGAAUGCGCAGAUAUCAGGAGGAACACCAAUAGCGAAGGCAGCUCGCUGGGACGUUACUGACACUGAGGCGCGAAAGCGUGGGGAGCGAACAGGAUUAGAUACCCUAGUAGUCC
rnacentral:rRNA from 1 species